UAUCUCUGUAGAGUCUGCAUAUCAAUAAGCGGAGGAAAAGAAACUAACAAGGAUUCCCUUAGUAACGGCGAGUGAAGCGGGAAGAGCUCAAAUUUGAAAUCUUCAAGGUUUUACCUUGACGAAUUGUAGUUUAAAGAAGUGUUUUCUGUUAGAUGAGUAGCAAAAGUUCCUUGGAAUGGGACAUCAUAGAGGGUGAGGAUCCCGUAUUUGACUAUUCAUUCUAGCUUUGUGAUACACUUUCAAAGAGUCGGAUUGUUUGGGAAUGCAGUCCAAAAUGGGUGGUAAAUUUCAUCUAAAGCUAAAUAUUGGCGAGAGACCGAUAGCGAACAAGUACCGUGAGGGAAAGAUGAAAAGAACUUUGAAAAGAGAGUUAAACAGUACGUGAAAUUGUCAAAAGGGAAGCGUUUGACACCAGUGUUGUUUUUCCGAAAAUCAAUUACGAAUGGCUUGAUUUUGUGUUGUAUUGACCUUAUCAGCUUUCUUCACUUUUUUCGAGUCUUUCUUAAUGCACUUUUUCGGUUAACAAGUCAACAUCAAUUUCUUUUGUUGUAAAAGAGUAUUCGGAAGGUGGCUUUCUUUUCGGAGAAAGUGUUUAUAGCCCUAUACUUCUACAAUCGGAGAGAUUGAGGUCUGCAGCGUAGAUCCUUCGGGGUUAGAUACACUUGUGCUAAGUUGUAGCUUUUCAUAGACAACUUGUUGACUAUGUUUAGUCAUGCGGCUUACUCGCUUGUGCUAUUUUACCUACGCUUAGGAUGUUGACUGAUAUGUAGUCGU
rnacentral:rRNA from 1 species